UGUUGCAGGGUUUGAGGAAGAGACAAGUGGACAUGAUCAAGGAUGGAGUAUAUGGGAGCAGCCAAUCAUUGACCAGGGUGACUACACUGUUAAGAGAGAUCUGAGGUAAAGCAGUCAGGCAACUGGCUAGCUUUUGUUGCCAUAGAUGAGAGCAAAUUCAGACACAAAAGAAAGUAUGGACGUGGACGACGUGGACACACCUGGAGAAGACACUUGUGGGUCUUUGGAAUGGUGGAAGUCAAGGGAUGCCAUAGACGUCCAAUCUUAAAGCUUGUAAAAUAUCGAUCCAGGAAGCGACUGUUCCCAAUUAUCCAGAAGUACAUUAGACCUGGUAGUAAAGUGAUAAGUGAUAGCUGGAGUGCCUACAACAGGUUAUCACGUCAUGGUUACAUUCACUAUCAGGUGAAUCACAGGAGACAUUUUUUCCACCAUGGGAGUGGUGCUCACACUCAGCAUACUGAACGGGCGUGGCGAAAUUAUAAAGAGGACAUUUACCAAUACAGAGGAAACCUGACAGAAAAGGCAUUAAAGAUGAACUUGAGGUUCACUGAGUGGAACUACUGGUUUGGAAAAGGAGCACAAGAAGGGUAUAUUAGACGCCUUUGCAAAGACAUCAGAGCGUGCUACCACGUUUAAGUGAUGCUGACGGGGUAAAUACUGCAGAUUUCCUAUCAUGUGAUUAAUAGCAUA